GACGAACGCUGGCGGCGUGCUUAACACAUGCAAGUCGAACGGAAAGGCCCUGCUUGCAGGGUACUCGAGUGGCGAACGGGUGAGUAACACGUGGGUGAUCUGCCCUGCACUUCGGGAUAAGCCUGGGAAGCUGGGUCUAAUACCGGAUAGGAGCCAUUUUUAGUGUGAUGGUUGGAAAGUUUUUUCGGUGUAGGAUGAGCUCGCGGCCUAUCAGCUUGUUGGUGGGGUAAUGGCCUACCAAGGCGGCGACGGGUAGCCGGCCUGAGAGGGUGGACGGCCACAUUGGGACUGAGAUACGGCCCAGACUCCUACGGGAGGCAGCAGUGGGGAAUAUUGCACAAUGGGCGCCAGCCUGAUGCAGCGACGCCGCGUGGGGGAUGACGGCCUUCGGGUUGUAAACUCCUUUCGCUAGGGACGAAGCUUUUUGUGACGGUACCUAGAUAAGAAGCACCGGCUAACUACGUG
rnacentral:rRNA from 1 species